UACGUAGGGUGCGAGCGUUAAUCGGAAUUACUGGGCGUAAAGGGCGCGUAGGCGGCCUGUUAAGUCGAACGUGAAAUCCCCGGGCUCAACCCGGGAACUGCGUCCGAUACUGGCAGGCUUGAAUCCGGGAGAGGGAUGUCGGAAUUCCAGGUGUAGCGGUGAAAUGCGUAGAUAAUCUGGAGGAACACCGGUGGCGAAGGCGGCGAUCCUGGACCGGUAUUGACGCUGAGGCGCGAAAGCUAGGGUAGCAAACGGG
rnacentral:rRNA from 1 species